rnacentral:rRNA from 1 species
CUGCGUACCUUUUGUAUAAUGGGUCAGCGACUUAUAUUCUGUAGCAAGGUUAACCGAAUAGGGGAGCCGGAGGGAAACCGAGUCUUAAUUGGGCGUUAAGUUGCAGGGUAUAGACCCGAAACCCGGUGAUCUAGCCAUGGGCAGGUUGAAGGUUGGGUAACACUAACUGGAGGACCGAACCGACUAAUGUUGAAAAAUUAGCGGAUGACCUGUGGCUGGGGGUGAAAGGCCAAUCAAACCGGGAGAUAGCUGGUUCUCCCCGAAAGCUAUUUAGGUAGCGCCUCGUGAAUUCAUCUCCGGGGGUAGAGCACUGUUUCGGCUAGGGGGCCAUCCCGGCUUACCAACCCGAUGCAAACUGCGAAUACCGGAGAAUGUUAUCACGGGAGACACACGGCGGGUGCUAACGUCCGUCGUGAAGAGGGAAACAACCCAGACCGCCAGCUAAGGUCCCAAAGUCAUGGUUAAGUGGGAAACGAUGUGGGAAGGCCCAGACAGCCAGGAUGUUGGCUUAGAAGCAGCCAUCAUUUAAAGAAAGCGUAAUAGCUCACUGGUCGAGUCGGCCUGCGCGGAAGAUGUAACGGGGCUAAACCAUGCACCGAAGCUGCGGCAGCGAACGUAUCACCCAAGACAACUUUACGGAGUUGACGAUUGACGGAGCGAAGCGACGUCAAAGCGUUCAUUAAAGUCGAGUUGGCUUAGGGAUACGUUCGUUGGGUAGGGGAGCGUUCUGUAAGCCUGUGAAGGUGUGUCGUGAGGCAUGCUGGAGGUAUCAGAAGUGCGAAUGCUGACAUAAGUAACGAUAAAGCGGGUGAAAAGCCCGCUCGCCGGAAGACCAAGGGUUCCUGUCCAACGUUAAUCGGGGCAGGGUGAGUCGACCCCUAAGGCGAGGCCGAAAGGCGUAGUCGAUGGGAAACGGGUUAAUAUUCCCGUACUUGGUGUUACUGCGAAGGGGGGACGGAGAAGGCUAUGUUGGCCGGGCGACGGUUGUCCCGGUUUAAGGGUGUAGGUGUGUGUUCCAGGUAAAUCCGGUUCACUUUAACACUGAGGCGUG